CCUACGGGAGGCAGCAGUGAGGAAUAUUGGUCAAUGGACGAGAGUCUGAACCAGCCAAGUAGCGUGAAGGAUGAAUGCCCUAGGGGCGGUAAACUUCGUUUAUAAAGAAAUAAAACGAGGCACGUGUGCCUAUUUGCAUGUACGUUAUGAAUAAGGAUCGGCUAACUCCGUGCCAGCAGCCGCGGUAAUACGGAGGAUCCGAGCGUUAUCCGGAUUGAUUGGGUUUAAAGGGAGCGUAGAUGGGUUGUUAAGUCAGUUGUGAAAGCUUGCGGCUCAACCGUAAAGUUGCAAUUGAUACUGGCAGUCUUGAGUACAGAUGAGGUGGGCGGAAUUCGUGGUGUAGCGGUGAAAUGCUUAGAUAUCACGAAGAACCCCGAUUGCGAAGGCAGCUCACUAAUCUGUGACUGACAUUGAUGCUCGAAAGUGUGGGUAUCAAACAGGAUUAGAUACCCCGGUAGUC
rnacentral:rRNA from 1 species